GACGAAUGCUGGCGGCGUGCUUAACACAUGCAAGUCGAACGGUGAAGCCUUUCGGGGUGGAUCAGUGGCGAACGGGUGAGUAACACGUGGGCAAUCUGCCCCAGAUUCUGGGACAACCCGGGGAAACCCGGGCUAAUACCGGAUAUGACGCGUGGCCGCAUGGUCUGCGCGUGGAAAGCUCCGGCGAUCUGGGAUGAGCCCGCGGCCUAUCAGCUUGUUGGUGGGGUGAUGGCCUACCAAGGCGACGACGGGUAGCCGGCCUGAGAGGGCGACCGGCCACACUGGGACUGAGACACGGCCCAGACUCCUACGGGAGGCAGCAGUGGGGAAUAUUGCACAAUGGGCGCAAGCCUGAUGCAGCGACGCCGCGUGAGGGAUGACGGCCUUCGGGUUGUAAACCUCUUUCAGCAGGGAAGAAGCGCAAGUGACGGUACCUGCAGAAGAAGCACCGGCUAACUACGUGCCAGCCGCCGCCGUAACAC
rnacentral:rRNA from 1 species